AAUAAUAAUAAUAAUAAUAAAAGAAAAGUACAUGACGGCAUUGAUUAAAAUGCUUAGCCUAAUGUUCCUUAAAAUAGUGAAUCGGUAAAACCAUUUUUUAAACCUCUACUGGCGACUUGAGUGUAUAGCCACGUCACGUCCAACACUCGUGUCUGACAUAUCAGUCAUGUCGUUACUUCAAACUGAUGUGAUGAGCGUCAAGGUCUAAAGACCUUGAUGAGCGUCGGCGUGCUUUCAGAGUUAAUAGACGAUAAACGAUGCAGACACUCAAGAAUCAGGGUAUAACGCCGUAAAUUACCCCGCCAGGGGUGGGGGCAGGGCGGCAACCAGUGGUCAAGUGAAGACACUUUGCGUUAUGGCUCCUCCUGAACACCCAUUGAACAUGUUGGUUUGGGGUGUCAUUGUGCAGCAGGUGAAACAAAUAUUAAGGCAACAUAAGAGAAAAUACUGGUCUAAGGAUUUCCACUAAAAAGGGCUAAUGGCAUGUAACUGUGAAAUACCCAGGCAGCGUUCCCCAAGUUUAAUUCACCUCAUUUUAACUGAGAUAUGUGCCACACCGGAUUACAAAAUGUCGUCGAAUCAGUUAUGAAGGUUUGACCAUAUUGUAUACGUCCUUAGAACUGACGACUGGUAAAAAUAUCGUGGACGACGAUGAAUUUAUAAAAGGCCACUCUUCACCCAAACAAUGCACGCACCUACAAUCAGCCAUCUGCACGACAGGCGGUUGACAAGCAAUCAUAUCUAGGCUUGAACGGAACGAUUACAAGAACUCCAGCGAUUUUGGAUAAGCUACCUUGGGAUCGAGAGAGAGAAAGUGCAGUUGCCCGGGCACCAUACUGGGUACCACACCAUGUGCAGAUCACGUGGGAAAGGUAUGGAAGAACAGGUAGCACUGCCUAACAGGAUUCUGGUGAAAUCUCUAUGAGUUAAUUAGAAGGCAGGAACACUGAGAAUUGGCCUUAGACGCUUCUGCUCUAGAUGUGCAAGAUCAUCCGCUCUCUUUGGGCUACUGACAGCCCCUCCUAGACAGUUGCUGUUAGCAUGUGUGUAGUGUCCCUGUAUGUAAAUUAUUCCCCGCAUCGGUCCCCCUGAGGAACACG